AGUGGACGGUGGUGAUGGUUACACAACAUUGCGAAUGUCAUGAAAGUCACUAAAUUAUAUACUUUAAAAAUGGUUAAAAUGGUAAUUUUUAUGUUGUGAAUUUUAUCUCAAAAGAAAAGUGAGCGAAGUCAUCUUUCAGCCUCCUGUGUAUACGGAGUGGUGAAACAGUGGUGUUUCAGAUGUCCUUCUGUCCUGGUUCUUACAGAUUCUGAGGUUGGACGGGCCUGAAUCCACUUUAGAAUGCUCCUGCAGAAUAGGACAAAAUGCAAGAUCGGCGUCUCUCUAAUCCCAGGAGCAGGCAACGAUUUCUCUCCUGUGACACCAUGGGGACAAGCCCAGAGAGCAGACCUGUGGGCCUGGGGAGGUGGAAGGAUUUCUGUGAAACUUGUCUGCAGAAAAGCCAGACCUGCCAGGACAUUGCUGCAAAAUGACAGCUGCAUUCACAGAAUCCACCCUUCUCAGUUUGCAGAUGGGCCAUAGAAAACCAACAAUAACAGGAGACUUUUCAACAAAUAACCAAGGGAUGUUCUGGGAAUUCUACUGCUUCUUUGCUGUGACCUCUGGAGAUUUUCUAAAUUAGAAUCAUUACCUAUAUGGGAAGCCUGCAAUGCAAAUCAAAUGAGAGGCCACGGGCAAGCUAAUGAAGGCCAGUGACCCGGGGAUCUAAUGAAGAUGAACAGCUCUGUUACAGGGAGAGGACGCCACCAUAUCACAUGCCGCUUGGAGCAGGAAAAGAGUUUCAGAUGAUGAGGUCACCAAAGGUCAGAAGAUGAGCCUCCAAAGGAAAUACAGAAGAAUAUACUUUGGAAUGGCUGAGCAAAGUGUGGACAUUGAAACUAAGGAAUGCUAUAGCAAGUGUGCCUAGGAGGUGCCUGGCUAGAACAGUGAAGAUGUCAACCAACACUGCAGCUCAGAGUGAGCCAACAAUAGACUAAGAGUUGGGGGAUCAAUUUUCCCCAUUGAACAAUCAAGAAAAACUUGGAGGCCCACAACUGGAAAACAUUUACUUGAAAAUCACUGAUGCAGGAACUUCUGAGACUGGAGCAGCCCACAUGUAUGCUUAUGAAAGGGAGGCAGAGGGAGACUUGACCAAUAAACAGGAGGAUUCAAUGUGAUCAUGGAGGCACCGAAGCUGGAAGAGGCAAAAACAGAUUCUUCCCUAAAGCCGUUGUGGCGCACAGCCAUGCUGAUAUUCUGACUUCAACCCAGGGACACUGAUUUUGGACUUCUGACUCCUGGAACUGUGAGAAAAUGUUUUUCUAUUGUUUUAACCCACCAAAUUUGUGGUAAUUUGUUAUAGUGGCCACAGGAAAUGAACACAUCCUCCAUUUUUCAGAGUAAAAGCCUGUAAAACUCAGGGUCCCUGGGUGGUUCAGUUGGUUAAACCUCCAACUUCAGUUCAGGUCAUGAUC